rnacentral:rRNA from 14 species
CCAGACUCCUACGGGAGGCAGCAGUGGGGAAUAUUGCACAAUGGGCGAAAGCCUGAUGCAGCCAUGCCGCGUGUGUGAAGAAGGCCUUCGGGUUGUAAAGCACUUUCAGUCAGGAGGAAAGGGUGUGAGUUAAUACCUCACAUCUGUGACGUUACUGACAGAAGAAGCACCGGCUAACUCCGUGCCAGCAGCCGCGGUAAUACGGAGGGUGCGAGCGUUAAUCGGAAUUACUGGGCGUAAAGCGUACGCAGGCGGUUUGUUAAGCGAGAUGUGAAAGCCCCGGGCUCAACCUGGGAACUGCAUUUCGAACUGGCAAACUAGAGUGUGAUAGAGGGUGGUAGAAUUUCAGGUGUAGCGGUGAAAUGCGUAGAGAUCUGAAGGAAUACCGAUGGCGAAGGCAGCCACCUGGGUCAACACUGACGCUCAUGUACGAAAGCGUGGGGAGCAAACGGGAUUAGAUACCCCGGUAGUCCACGCCGUAAACGAUGUCUACUAGAAGCUCGGAACCUCGGUUCUGUUUUUCAAAGCUAACGCAUUAAGUAGACCGCCUGGGGAGUACGGCCGCAAGGUUAAAACUCAAAUGAAUUGACGGGGGCCCGCACAAGCGGUGGAGCAUGUGGUUUAAUUCGACGCAACGCGCAGAACCUUACCAGCGUUUGACAUCCUGAUCGCGGAUUCCAGAGAUGGUUUCCUUCAGCUCGGCUGGAUCAGUGACAGGUGCUGCAUGGCUGUCGUCAGCUCGUGUUGUGAAAUGUUGGGUUAAGUCCCGUAACGAGCGCAACCCUUGUCCUUAGUUACUAACAUUAAGUUGAGAACUCUAAGGAGACUGCCGGUGACAAACCGGAGGAAGGCG